rnacentral:rRNA from 1 species
CAAUAGCGUAUAUUAAAGUUGUUGCAGUUAAAAAGCUCGUAGUUGGAUUUCUGGUUGAAGCGACCGGUCGGGCGUUGAUCCGUCUGCACUGGAGUCGGUUUUGGCCAUCCUCUAGGAAAGUGCGUCUGGUAUUAAGUUAUCGGGCGUAUGAUCCUGGUCUUUUACUGUGAAAAAAUUAGAGUGUUUAAAGCAGGCCUUCGCCUUGAAUACAUUAGCAUGGAAUAAUAAGAUAGGACUUUGGUCUAUUUUGUUGGUUUGCAGACCGAAGUAAUGAUUAAUAGGGAUAGUUGGGGGUAUUUAUAUUCCGAUGUCAGAGGUGAAAUUCUUAGAUUUUCGGAAGAUAAACUUAUGCGAAAGCAUUUACCAAGGAUGUUUUCAUUA